GGUUCCAUGGUGUAGCAAUUAGCACAUCUGCUUUAUACGCAGAAGAUCCUGGGUUCAUGCCCCAGUGGAGCCA
rfam:Pteropus alecto contig46626, whole genome shotgun sequence.